CCAGGGCAGCUGGCUGCUGUGUCUCCCCACACCUGGGCGGCAGGCUCUAGUUUCUUGGCUUCUCUAGCAGAGCCCGGGAAUACCGCUGGGAGCUAGGGUCUUGGUGUCUCCCAAGAGGAGAGGUGGGCCCAGCACACAAGAGAGCUUUAACUGGGCUGGGAUGGGUGAGCAGCCCUAGCCUAGCCCCAGUGCUAGGGCGCGAGGCAAACUGCAGCCUGGAGGGGGUGGGGGGGGGGGGGUGGAGAAGGAGGCGGGGAAAGCGGGCUGGGCCCCAGGCAGAGGCAAGGGAGGGAAAAUUGAAUGUGAAUCCUGCGAGGGACCGAGCUGACAGGGGGCACCAGAGCGGCAGCGCGCUCUAGGCGCGGUCCCCUCGGCCACCCGACGAAGCCCUAGGAGGAUCGCAGGUUGGAGGGGUCGGACUCCGGGAUCUGCAGGAUGCGGCACACGGCGCGGAUCGGCCGCACCAGCUUCUGGGCCGAGGCCGUGGGUUGCGCCAUGGGACGCCGAGACUCCGUGCUGCGCCUUGGGGAGGGCCGGACCGGGGCUGGGGAGCGGGUGCCCCCGAGGGAAAGAGGGAGCCGGGCCGGGGGGAACGCGCGCCCCGGGUCGGAGAAGGCUGGGUCGGGGGGGAGGCCGAGGGGCCGGGGGAGGGGGUCGAGCCUGGAAGUGGGGCCGAUCCCCUGAGCCGAGAGAGAGGCAGCGGCUAGGGCGCAGCACCGCGCUACGCGGCUAAUGGAGGGAGAGCGCGGCGGAGAGCGCAGCAGGACCUCCGAUCGCCAUCGCCAGACGCGCAACUGAGAGCGGGGAAGCUGCUCCUCCGGUUUCCUCCUCCAGCACCCUGCGGGAAACAGGAGCCCGUGAUUCGGCGGCCCCGCCUGGGCCUGCCCCUCCUGAGCCCCGGGGGCUUCCGCCAACGCCCCGGCGAUGCCACCGGCUGCGCAAGGGGAGAAUGAGCCCUUUGUUCCCCCCUCCCCCCCGCGGCUCCCGGGCGCCUGCCGAGAGAGGCUCCCCCGGGGCAGCGUGCCAGCUUCCCAGCCGCCCCACCCUCCCGUGGGCCUGGCCCCGGAGCCCGGCAGGCGGCGGCACCCCCACUAUAGGUGCCAAGCCCGGGAACUGGAGCAAAGGGCGGGAGGGGCUGGACCAGGCCACCGUGGGGCUGGUGCCCCCCGGGGUGCUAGGGCGGGGAGGCUGGGAGGGGACAAUGCUGGAGCUGGCAGGGGCAGUCACCGGGUUCUCACGGGUCAGUGAUGGGCACUGGGACCCUCGCCGGCCCAGCCUUCGCCUGCGGGACCCCUCUCCCCUGGUCCUCUCCAGCCCGGCUGGCUGCAGUGUGCCCUCCUCAUCCUCAGCGGGCCAAGCUGUUGUUCAAGGCCCCCACCCAAGCCCCCUCCCCGGCUCGGUCCCAAUGGCACUAAGUGCUGUGCUUAGGGGCCUGGGAGGGGCUGCCUCAGAUCUGUCCGGGCUUUGGGCCUGGGUUUCACCAAGUGUCCAGCGUUGAUGGGAUGAGAGGAGCUCCACCCUGAGCUCCAGCCCGGGG
rnacentral:lncRNA from 1 species